rfam:Loxodonta africana unplaced genomic scaffold scaffold_11, whole genome shotgun sequence.
AGUGGUUGAGUGCUCAGCUACUAACUGAAAGGUCGGUGGUUCAAAUCCACCAGCCACUC